rnacentral:lncRNA from 1 species
CCUCUGGCUAUUUAUGGUGAUAAGUGAAGGAGUGAGAACUCUUAGCGUAAUAAAACAUCCGAAGUUCUAAGACCCCCCACAUGUUGUGAAUUUGGUUGGAGUAAAGAUCUAAGGGUCCAUACUGGGCUAUAAAAAUAGUGUAGUACUUGAGCAGUACUGUAAAAAUGGCAAUUAUAAAUAAUUAUGAGUGUUGAGGAGGUAAUAUGAACACUCAAGUUCAAAGCAGUAAAAUAAAAAUUAAAAAAAAAAGACAGACUUAGGUAAGCCAUCUAUCAACUCGGAGAAUGCUGAUGCUUUGUUGAAAGAGAGCUUUGUCUUACAAAUUAGGCACUUAUAAAAACUCAUCACUCACUGCAGAUGUUACUUUAAGACAUUCUGGAGCAGCGUCAUGUGCAGUCAUGUGAAAGUAUAUUCCAAACCCAGAACCUGAGCACAGAUUGGGACUGAGAAACACUUGUCUAGAUUGUCAGGCAAUCUGUAACAUCAGCAGUGGAUGGAAAGAAGGAGAAAGAUGAGUUUUAUGGACGCUAACCCAUCUAUAUGGCUUUGGAAAAUAAAGUACUGCUGUUUUU